AGAGUUUGAUCCUGGCUCAGGAUGAACGCUGGCGGCGUGCCUAACACAUGCAAGUCGAACGGAGCUGCUUUGAUGAAGUUUUCGGAUGGAUUUAAAGCGGCUUAGUGGCGGACGGGUGAGUAACGCGUGGGUAACCUGCCUCACACUGGGGGAUAACAGUUAGAAAUAGCUGCUAAUACCGCAUAAGCGCACGGUUCCGCAUGGAACAGUGUGAAAAACUCCGGUGGUGUGAGAUGGACCCGCGUCUGAUUAGCCAGUUGGCGGGGUAACGGCCCACCAAAGCGACGAUCAGUAGCCGGCCUGAGAGGGUGAACGGCCACAUUGGGACUGAGACACGGCCCAAACUCCUACGGGAGGCAGCAGUGGGGAAUAUUGCACAAUGGGGGAAACCCUGAUGCAGCGACGCCGCGUGAGUGAAGAAGUAUUUCGGUAUGUAAAGCUCUAUCAGCAGGGAAGAAAGUGACGGUACCUGAAUAAGAAGCCCCGGCUAACUACGUGCCAGCAGCCGCGGUAAUACGUAGGGGGCAAGCGUUAUCCGGAUUUACUGGGUGUAAAGGGAGCGUAGACGGCAAGGCAAGUCUGAAGUGAAAGCCCGGUGCUUAACGCCGGGACUGCUUUGGAAACUGUUUGGCUGGAGUGCCGGAGAGGUAAGCGGAAUUCCUAGUGUAGCGGUGAAAUGCGUAGAUAUUGGGGAAGAACACCAAGUGGCGAAGGCGGCUUACUGGACGGUAACUGACGUUGAGGCUCGAAAGCGUGGGGAGCAAACAGGAUUAGAUACCCCUGGUAGUCCACGCCGUAAACGAUGAUUGCUAGGUGGAAGGUGGGGUAUGGGACCCAUCGGGUGCCGCAGCUUAACGCAAUAAGCAAUCCACCCUGGGGGAGUACGUUCCGCAAGAAUGAAACUCCAAAGGAGUUUGACCGGGGACCCCCACAAACCGGUGGAGGCAAGUGGGGUUUUAAUUCCAAAGCACCGCGGAAGAAACCUUUCCCAGGGGCUUGGGGGGCCCCCAUUGAAAAAACCCCGUAAACGGGGGUUCCCUCUUCGGAGCAUCGGAGACAGGUGGUGCAUGGUUGUCGUCAGCUCGUGUCGUGAGAUGUUGGGUUAAGUCCCGCAACGAGCGCAACCCUUAUUCUUAGUAGCCAGCAGGUAGGGCUGGGCACUCUAAGGAGACUGCCGGGGAUAACCCGGAGGAAGGUGGGGAUGACGUCAAAUCAUCAUGCCCCUUAUGAUCUGGGCUACACACGUGCUACAAUGGCGUAACAAAGGGAAGCGAGCCUGCGAGGGUGAGCAAAUCCCAAAAAUAACGUCCCAGUUCGGACUGUAGUCUGCAACCCGACUACACGAAGCUGGAAUCGCUAGUAAUCGCGAAUCAGAAUGUCGCGGUGAAUACGUUCCCGGGUCUUGCACACACCGCCCGUC
rnacentral:rRNA from 1 species